AUUGAACGCUGGCGGCAGGCCUAACACAUGCAAGUCGAGCGGAUGAAGGGAGCUUGCUCCUGGAUUCAGCGGCGGACGGGUGAGUAAUGCCUAGGAAUCUGCCUGGUAGUGGGGGAUAACGUCCGGAAACGGGCGCUAAUACCGCAUACGUCCUGAGGGAGAAAGUGGGGGAUCUUCGGACCUCACGCUAUCAGAUGAGCCUAGGUCGGAUUAGCUAGUUGGUGGGGUAAAGGCCUACCAAGGCGACGAUCCGUAACUGGUCUGAGAGGAUGAUCAGUCACACUGGAACUGAGACACGGUCCAGACUCCUACGGGAGGCAGCAGUGGGGAAUAUUGGAUAAUGGGCGAAAGCCUAAUCCAGCCAUGCCGCGUGUGUGAAGAAGGUCUUCGGAUUGUAAAGCACUUUAAGUUGGGAGGAAGGGCAGUAAGUUAAUACCUUGCUGUUUUGACGUUACCAACAGAAUAAGCACCGGCUAACCUCGUG
rnacentral:rRNA from 1 species